CCUGACUCCAUACCGAACUCAGAAGUGAAACGCAGUAAUGCCGAUGGUAGUGUGGGGAUUCCCCAUGUGAGAGUAGGGCACCAUCAGGG
rnacentral:rRNA from 1 species